UUUUUUUUCGGUGUUUCCAUA
ensembl:piRNA 21ur-13740 ncRNA